AUUGAACGCUGGCGGAAUGCUUUACACAUGCAAGUCGAACGGCAGCACGGACUUCGGUCUGGUGGCGAGUGGCGAACGGGUGAGUAAUGUAUCGGAACGUGCCCAGUCGUGGGGGAUAACGUAGUGAAAAUUACGCUAAUACCGCAUACGAUCUAUGGAUGAAAGCGGGGGAUCGCAAGACCUCGCGCGAUUGGAGCGGCCGAUAUCAGAUUAGGUAGUUGGUGGGGUAAAGGCCCACCAAGCCAACGAUCUGUAGCUGGUCUGAGAGGACGACCAGCCACACUGGAACUGAGACACGGUACAGACUCCUACGGGAGGCAGCAGUGGGGAAUUUUGGACAAUGGGCGAAAGCCUGAUCCAGCCAUUCCGCGUGCAGGAUGAAGGCCCUCGGGUUGUAAACUGCUUUUGUACAGAACGAAAAGGUUUCUACUAAUACUAGGAGCUCAUGGCGAGACUGUAAGAAUAAGCACCGGCUAACUACGUGCCAGCCGCCGCCGUAA
rnacentral:rRNA from 1 species